UGGCUAUAUCAUAUUGACACAUUGGUUCUCGUACAAUUACCAAAGUUAAGCACCAUCGAGCCUGGUCAGUACUGCGAUGGGUGACUGCUUUGGAAUACCAAAUGAUGUA